GAGCGGCAGUGCGGGCGGCGGGGCGCUGACCUCUGCGGACGGAAGGAAGGAGGGCUCCGGCGGCGCGGAGCUGCGGCGGCGGCGCGCCCCGGGAGCGCAGCUCGGGCACGGGAGGAUGCGGGGCUCGGCCGCUGGAGCCAGGAGGAACCACCACUGCGGGGAGGGGGGAGACGAUCGCUGCCUUUCUUUUUGUUUUUGUUUUCUUUUUUUAUUUUUUUCUGAAGAGACUCCCAACUUUUUUUUUGGGGGGGGCUGAUUUUCUUUUUGGGCUUCCUUCCCCCCCCCCCCCCUCCUUUUUGCCUGUGAUUACCUUCAUCUAAGCCCACCUCCUCAUGGCUUGCCAGCACCCAUCCUUGGACUCUUAGCUCCCAGCCCAGCAGCCGUGAGGUACCAUCUCUACACCACCCCACCGCAGGCAGCAGGUGCCGCCGGCCCCGCACCUCUCGGCACUCUGCAGGCCCGGCCCGGCCCGAGGAGCUGGUGUGUGUGAGAUGGCAGCUGCUGGGCCCUGGCCGCACCGCUGCCAGCCUGCAUGACCCUGAGCUCAGGAUCCUACAUGAAGCACACGUGGAAGUAUGCCUGAAGACCUCAGAGAAAGCUGCCACUUUUGCAGGGGAAUACAACUCCGAAUCCCAAGAACACAUCCUGCAAAAUUACCAGUGAUUCAAGUCUCCAUUCAACUCUGGUCGCUCAGAAGAGCAGAAGCCUGGAUAAGCACUUCUCGUGUCAGUACCAUCAGAGCAAUGAGCUGUAACUGGCUUUAAGCCACUGUGCAGGUAAAUUGCAUUGUUCAGUUCAGUUAGAUCAAUAAGAUGGGGUUUCUAUCAUCAGUUAACCGUAACGUUGUUCUCCCAAAGAAAUCUCAGCCCUGAAUUUUACUUAAUGAAAGAAACGGUAAGCAGCAAAGUGCUUUUCAGGUUCAUCUGACAGGUAGCUGAGCAACUCUACAUGUACCUGCUCAGAGCACAUACUUCUUUAUGUACCCAUAUGAACAUACAAUGCUAUGGAAUGUAAAGAAGUAUGUAUUUUUGGCAGGCACAGAACGACCAGUAAGAGGAAACUAACAGCUGUUGGGAAGAGUGUGCUUCCCCACAUUUGAAUGACAUUCAAGUGACAAGUUAACUGGCUAAGGGUCAGCUGGUAUUGCCUAAAUAACACAUACGUAUUAGCAACAACUCACAAAGCAUUAAAUUAAGGGACUAUAUAUGUGGGUUGAGAAAGUUUUUCUUGGAUUACAAACAGAACAUCAGCUGUAAACACGAAACCCACAGUGAGGCUGGGAACAAACAGUUCAACAUGCUAAUUCGGAUCUGCAAAAGUUAUGAUUACAGUACACCUCCUACAAUAGAUCCUAAACAAACUCUAAAAGCCCCAUUACCAAAACGCAUCUCAUUUAACCGAGCCAUUGUUUUACUGAUUGCAGCCAGUUCUGUAUACUUACAAUGGCACCUUUUAAAUUUGCAUCUACCACAGAAUAUUUAACAACUUACAGACUGCGACGAGGACGCAAGCAGAAACACUUGAGAAAUUAAGGUUGUGACUUAGAGAAAAGGAUAUACAGAAGUACAUUAAGUACAAUGACAUCUAGCAUUUAGUAUAUAACAUUUAAGUUAGAAUUUUCUCCAAAUCAGCAUUUACUCUGCUCACUGAGCUCUUCGGUACAAACUGCUGUGUCUGGCUUAUGCACAGAAAGUGACAAUACAGAGAUUUCUAGGCCCCGGUUGCUAGUCAGCAGAUUAAAGCUAUUGACAGAUUCCUAAAGGGAAACACAAAUGGCAAAUACUACUUACCUAAGGUACCUUACGUAUCAUUUUCAAAUUAACUGAAUUUACUUUAGAACGGGAUUUAAGAAAAUAGGCCAUGUAAACAUUCUGUAACACACUGCAAAUGUUACGACCUACUCUAGAAAGAAGUCCCACAACAGUUUCAAGUUCUACAAGCAGAAUUAAUUAAAAUAAGCGGAUGCAUACCACCCCUAAGCUAAGAGGCUCAAUAGUAAAUUCAGGAAUAGGGAGAAUCUGAGGAAUACUCUCAGCUAACCAGUACAGCAAUUCUACUCAUAAAGCAGCCUUCUAAGAGCAGUUAGAUGAUACAUUCAUAAGCAGGCACAUUUGUCCCAGAUUAAGAAUUCUAACUCUAUCCAUGUGCUUAUUAAAAUGUCUGGGGAAAAAAAAAAAAACAAUAACAAAACCAAAAAGCAACAUACCAAUUUUAGAUUGAGAACCUUAUUUUUAAAAUACUCAAAUCUCAAAUCACUAUUAUACAUAGCCUGCUAUUUUUAUUACCUGAAACUACAGAAUAACGCACAGAAGAAAACAUUCUCUUAUCAGAACCGUUUGCUAAAGUGAAAUGCUAACAUUUCUUAAGAAGCUGUUUCUUUUAUAAGCAGAUAUUGUGGCAUAAAGACAAUGGCAUCUUUAAAUCCCAAUUAAAACCUACUUUAUAGAGGGAAACAACCACACCAUAGUGGCUAUUCUCAACAGAGUGAUGCUACUGAACUUGAUCAUGCUCACAGAAGUAAUCUGGUAUUACCACCAGCUUUACAGAGAGGUUAAUUGCUAAGCAUCCAGUCGUUCUACUGAGGAGUUCCCGUCCUCUGCGCUAAUUGAUUUGGCCUCCACUGCAUACUCAAACUUUUUAACAUCUCAAAUGCAUUUAGAGAGGUUUUUGGUAACAAGUCAUCAUGUCGUGUUAUUUCUCCUCUGCUUUGUGUAACAUUGCAGCACUGUUCCGAAACAAAAUGACAGUUCUGAGUGACACAGAAGUUAAAAUUAUAUGUUGACACCGCUUCCUGCUAGUUCAUGUUAGCGUAGCUCUAAGAAUACAUAUCCAGUCACUCUGAAAUGUCACAUCCAUCACUUAGAUCAGCUGUUCGGUUUUUAACUGAGCACACGUUGAACUUUGGGCAUCUGCUGACACAGUUGUAACUCAAACAUUUCAACUGUGUGACUGACAGGGAUAACAGAUGCUGACAUUAUCAAAUGCUACACGGCUUUUUUUCCAUGGCCGUUUUUUGUCCCGAUAUGGCCAGUACAUGCAACUGUAUUAGCAUCCAAAAGCGCACUUGAGCAGCUGUAUCUGUAAAACAGUUCCUGUAUAACUGGUAAAAAUAGAAACUAAUUUUAUAACCAUCUUUAAUGCUGAAGUCCAAGUGACACACCUGCUAUGUUUCUAUUAGCAUGCAUGGCGUUGGGAAUAUAUUUACAUAAAUCUCCUCGCCAGUAUCAGACCAUGCAGCAAACAGAUGCAGACUAUACUUGCCGCAGUCAUUAUUAGUGAAUGACUUCAACUAACUUUUGUCUGCUAUUUCCCACUGCAGUCAAAGCUCGUUAAAAAAUAAAGAAAAAAAUAAAGAAAACACCACCAAACUCAGCACACAACAUAUAAAAAGCUAUGGUAGUAUGUGCAGUGUAUUAAAGGAGUCUUGGUUUAGGAGAAAAAAAGAUCAGAUUAAAUCCCAGAUCAUUCCUUUUUUACAAAGUGCAUUUUUCCUGAUAUAUAACAUUGAUAUAUACAAUCAAGUAGGAGAAAAAAAAAUCUGUCUUGCUAUAUUAUGUAAUCAUUCCUAAAAAGUUAAUACUAACCAGAGAUAUAGUGAUGGAAUUGAAAGCACUUGACAUUUACACUUGUGCUAACCAAGUACAGCACUAAAGCAGCUGCAAAGGGUAACCUGCCAGAAAACCACGGGGGUAGGGAGGUGGCAAAAUGAAACCUUCUCUCCAGUAACGCUUAACAUUGAGAGGCAAAGGAACCCUAUGUGAGUACAACCUGAAAGCACACCGUUUCUGGUCACAGCUCUCGACUCUCAUUAUUGCAGACCAAAACCAGUUUAAACUGCAACUAGAAUUUGAGCUGAGACUCAAGGAAAUAGGCAAAGAAAAGACAAACCUGUACGUAUGAGGCCUCGCUUGUACAUAUCUUUCCAUUUUGCCACUUCUAAAUUAAAGAAUUUGAAGUUGCAGUGACUAGAAGCAGAACGUGUAACACAGGAAAAAGCCACAAGUUCUUUGUGAACAGCCCACGUAUGCUAAAGGGUCUUAAAAAUGUUAUUAAAUUAUAACCUUCCCGCACUCCAAUGCUUUGCUAAAGCUGGUAAAAUGGAACCAAAUCACCUCUUCAAUGGAUUUGGUCCCCUUCAACCAGCUGUAGCUAUGCAUUGAUCACUACAGGAUUUUUUACACAUUUAAAGCUAGACACUAAGCCAGAAUAAUUACGCAGUCCUUUGCAGAGAGGGUUAAUUUUUUCCAGGCACAUAGAAGACAGGAGGUAACAAGAAGUAUAGUGAAUUCUGUUUCAAAAAAUCUCAAGGUUGUACCUGUAAAUAAACAGCUACUGGUGUUUAAUAUCAUGUCUAUAUUUGUUGCAAAUGGAUCUUAUAACAUUUUUGAAGACAGGCAAAUAGCAAAAUAAACACAUUUUCCAACGA